rnacentral:rRNA from 2 species
GUGCAAUGGCAUAAGCCAGCUUGACUGCGAGCGUGACGGCGCGAGCAGGUGCGAAAGCAGGUCAUAGUGAUCCGGUGGUUCUGAAUGGAAGGGCCAUCGCUCAACGGAUAAAAGGUACUCCGGGGAUAACAGGCUGAUACCGCCCAAGAGUUCAUAUCGACGGCGGUGUUUGGCACCUCGAUGUCGGCUCAUCACAUCCUGGGGCUGAAGUAGGUCCCAAGGGUAUGGCUGUUCGCCAUUUAAAGUGGUACGCGAGCUGGGUUUAGAACGUCGUGAGACAGUUCGGUCCCUAUCUGCCGUGGGCGCUGGAGAACUGAGGGGGGCUGCUCCUAGUACGAGAGGACCGGAGUGGACGCAUCACUGGUGUUCGGGUUGUCAUGCCAAUGGCACUGCCCGGUAGCUAAAUGCGGAAGAGAUAAGUGCUGAAAGCAUCUAAGCACGAAACUUGCCCC